rnacentral:rRNA from 1 species
CACUCCUACGGGAGGCAGCAGUGGGGAAUAUUGCACAAUGGGCGCAAGCCUGAUGCAGCCAUGCCGCGUGUAUGAAGAAGGCCUUCGGGUUGUAAAGUACUUUCAGCGGGGAGGAAGGCGAUAAGGUUAAUAACCUUGUUGAUUGACGUUACCCGCAGAAGAAGCACCGGCUAACUCCGUGCCAGCAGCCGCGGUAAUACGGAGGGUGCAAGCGUUAAUCGGAAUUACUGGGCGUAAAGCGCACGCAGGCGGUCUGUCAAGUCGGAUGUGAAAUCCCCGGGCUCAACCUGGGAACUGCAUUCGAAACUGGCAGGCUAGAGUCUUGUAGAGGGGGGUAGAAUUCCAGGUGUAGCGGUGAAAUGCGUAGAGAUCUGGAGGAAUACCGGUGGCGAAGGCGGCCCCCUGGACAAAGACUGACGCUCAGGUGCGAAAGCGUGGGGAGCAAACAGGAUUAGAUACCCUUGUAGUCCCAUG